GCCAGGUGCAAUGGCUCACGCCUGUAAUCCCAGCACUUUGGGAGGCUGAAGUGGGUGGAUCACUUGAGGUCAGGAGUUCGAGACCAGCCUGGCCAACAUGGUGAAAUCCCGUCUCUACUAAAAAUCCCAGCCUUCUGAGUAGCUGGGAUUACAGGCACAUGCCACCAUGCCUGGGUAAUUUUUGUAUUUUUAGUAGAGACAGGGUUUCACCAUGUUGACCAGGCUGGUCUCAAACUCUUGACCUCAAGUGAUCCGCCCACGUCAG
rnacentral:SRP_RNA from 1 species